GACGAACGCUGGCGGCGUGCUUAACACAUGCAAGUCGAACGGAAAGGCCCUGCCUUUGUGGGGUGCUCGGGGGGCGGACGGGUGAGAAACACGUAAGUUACCCGCCCUUGACUUUUGGGUAAAUUCAAGGAACUCGGGCUAAUAACGGGUAGGCGCUCCUGCUGGAUGGGGGGGGGUGGAAAGUUUCGGGGGUUUGGGAGGGGCCCCCGGCCUGUCCGGUUGUUGGUGGGGGGGUGGCUUACCAAGGCAUUGGCGGGUAGCCGGCCGGGGGGGGGGACCGGCCCAAUUGGGACCGGAAAACGGCCCAGACUCCUACGGGAGGCAGCAGUGGGGAAUAUUGCACAAUGGGCGGAAGCCUGAUGCAGCAACGCCGCGUGCGGGAUGACGGCCUUCGGUUUGUAAACCGCUUUCGCAUGGGACGAAGCGUGAGUGACGGUAAUUGGUAAAGAAGCACCGGCUAACUACGUG
rnacentral:rRNA from 1 species